AUUAAUUUUCAUAUUGAGAUUAUAAAACCGCUAAAAUUCAAUUUUGCAGAAAUUAUAAUUCUUUUUGAUAGAGGAGAUGCGAAAUUGGAAUAUUUUGAAUUCAAUUGUUCCCGCGAUAUACGCGCUCGUUCUGCAGUUCGAUAAAUCGAACUCGGUAAUGUCGACUAAUCGAUAGCCGCACGAAAAACGUGGCCUACUCGAUCCUACGCGAUUGUGACAUUCCAAGUACAGUAGUUCGCCUGAUUAAAAAAGUCAUCGCACUUCCUAUGCCUGUGAGUGUGAGCGAUAGCACGAUUAUCGUGAAAUGCACUAGAGCACGCGACUCGAGUGAGAGCUUCGUCCGCUUGUGCGUGCCAAGAACCGUGGAGCUUUGCCUCGAUCAUCAGCGAAUGCUGACGAGUGACAGCUCGCUGCUGACAGCGCGUGAAUCAGUGAAUCGUCGCGGAUCGUGUCCGUUCGAUUAAUCCGCGAACGAUCAUAUGGUGCUCGUAACAGCGCGCGUGUCAUAAGAAUUGCCGCGCUUCACUUCAGGCGAACGGCGAGGCAACGCACGGACCUUCCUAAAAAUGACCUGACGACGAGGACACACGAGAGCGCGCCCAGCGGGAGGCCUAUAACAUGAUACGCCCUUUCCUCGAUGAAGAGGAUGCCUGGUGUUACUGGGUUGUCUCGGUCGGCGCCCUGCUGUCAUUCCUGGGCCUCGUCGCCGCCUGCAUCUGCAGCUGUCGACGGAACGAAAACAAGAAUGAAUUUCUGGGACUCGCUGGUAUGGUAACACUGAAUAAUUCCGAAACAGACGGUUUCAACAGAAUUCCAGUGUUGGAUGUGUCCCAAGUUGUUGCGCAGGAUGUCAACGAUGGUGGAAAAAGGACUGCAAGUGCCAACAGGAGUCUUCCAGAUAUCCCGAAAGACAAGAGCAGAGAACAUGAGAAUAUGGUGGAGUCAGUACCUCAGGAUAUUUAUGAGACCACUGAAACUAUGGAAGACCAUUCAGAAUUGUAUGCUACAGUCCAAGAUGCAGCGCAGGAACAGAUAUCUGAGAGGGAAGCACAGGAAGUUACCCAGCAAAGUUCAUUGACACAAGAUAUAUCGCAUCAAUAUACUAGAUUUGCGUCUCCUAUCUCUGACAACGUUGAACAUCCUUACGCACAAGUUCAAAAUGUUCAGAAGACUGAAGCUAGUCAAGUAAAUAGAAGUAAUGUUAAUCAAAUCGUAAAUAUCGAGAAACCGUCGACAUCGACGGGUCAGCCGAGGGGAAACCCGGUCGCGCCACCGAGGGCCCGCCGAUCAUCCUCGCACAACUCACUCCUCAGCUCCGAAUCGCACUGCGACAUUCAAGCCGCGAACGCUAUCUCCGGUGGUGUGCAAGCUAAUCAAGACUUGCCCUACAUGACGCCGCCCCUUUUAAUGCUACUGCCACACCCGCCGCACUCUCAGCACAACAGCCCGCAACAGCACUUUAGCGGUGAUUCCCAAGAUUCGAAGGGAUACACGAGUAUAAGCGUGCGGGAACCACUAGCUAAUAUAAUCGCGCAGACCAAAGCAGCCUACAGGCAGAAUCAGUCGACUCGACCGAUCACUGAUCCCCAUUAUGCUACCGUUUCUGACGAUUCGGAUGAAAUGUACGCCGCGAUUGACGAGCAAGACAAGGUGUACACUAGCGGCAGCGAAACGUACGCCCAGAUUCAGCCGACGACGUUGGACGCGCAGAGACAAGCGCAGCAUGAGCAGCCGGUAUUUUGCCAGGCUGCUUCGCGCACGGAAGAAACGCACCCUGCACCGCAACCGCCUAGCGUCGACAGUUUGCGUCACGUCGCACACGCUCAUUCUAGACAAGCAUCGUCAUCGAGUGCCACUAGUUCCAUCAUCAAUCCAGGGUCGCCUAAACCCGAGAAGCGUCAGGCUAACUCGCCAUUACCGCCGCCGCCCGAGGCGAGUGCGGAAGGAUACGCGUCUGUUGACAAGAGCAAGGGUAAAACCGACGAGAGAUCGAGGUCUUCGUUGUCGAUGGGUAAGUCGCUCGAGGACAUGUACGCGAAGGUAAUGAAGAAGAAGAAGGAAGUGGAGGAGCAGCAACAACAACAGCAGCAGCAGCAGCAAGCGGACACUCACCCAAGCGUCAACAACGUUCUGCAUCCUGAAGCGAGUACUUACAGAAAACUGAGUCUCAUAGAGAUCAGCCGGGCGUCGUGGUGCAGCCACGAAUCGGUGGAAAUCCAGAAGAAGGAGCCUGACGGCACGCAUUACGCCGCUGCGGGCAGCGCCGCGAGCAAUUUCCACGUCGAGAGCGAGAGUAAUUCGAGCUUGAAGUUACCGAAACCCGAGAGAGACGCGACCCUGCCGCACAUAGAGAUCGAUCACGGGUACGAGGCCGUCGACUCCACCAGCAACGACAGGAGGAACUCGGCGGCGAGGGGCAUCGCGAGCUUGUCCGAUCCAAAUUACGAGAUGCUGCGAUCGCAGUCCGCGCGCGAGAACGACUAUCAAAGCAACUCGAUAUCCGCUAGGAACAGCGCAGACGCGUCGUACUCGGUGCCGUUCAAACAUCGGCAGGUGAGCAACGCCAGCAGCGAGGACCCCGGCUACGAGAAGGUGCGGCUGCGACGGCGGGUCGAGCUACUGGACCAGGACACGGAUUCCGAGCCGAAUUACGAGAGCAUGCCGCACGACACGGGCGAGCCGAACUACGCGUCGGUGUGCCGACCCGGUGACAGCGACACGGACCCGAACUACGAAUCCGUGAGCCACGGCGACCCGAAUUACGAGAGCGUGAAGUACAUGACCGUCACGCGAAACGAGGAACCGCCCUACGAGCAAGUGAUGAAUAACUUUCCGGUGGACACGAACGCGGACGGCUACGAGAAAGUUAAGGACAAGAAGGCAACGACCAAUGCCGAUUACGAGAAGAUAAAUCUGAAUAAUACCCUGGAACGGAUCAGCAACGGCGGGGAUACCGAUGACGAGCAGUACGUUCAGGUGUAACGCGCAACUUGUGACUCCUCGGCCAUAAUCUCAAGCUCGUAGAAAAUUCCGGGUGGAAACGUAUUAUAAAAUUCGACCUCCGCGAUUCAACGAGCAAUUUUAUAGCGUAAGAAUGGUAAGUUGUCAAGUUAUGUCGAUAUCAGUACGAUAAUGAGGAUAAGACUGAUGAAGACAAACAGUGAGAGUAAGCUUACGAGUGAAGAGAAUCUGCAUUAUUUUUUCAAUUGUCUUGAUCAGACGCAUUCUCCCCCGGCGAUAGCAAAGCUUGUGAUUCGAGAAGUUACCGCGUCAAAAACAAAAGAACGUUCUUAAAACGUAUCGCAUCCGAAAAAUGUCGUCCGUGUGAGUUAUAAACUUGAGAAAGACCAUUGUCGCGCGUCUGCCUUUAAUAGCAUUCAGGUAUUCGUCGUAAGCUAAGACAUCGUACGAUGUUAUUAUUCGCUAGCUAGCGCGAUCGAAGUAAUUCUCAUCGAACAUGAAUCUAACUGCAACUUGACAAUUACAAAUGACAAAUGCGAGACGCAUUAAUUUUUAUCCAUUCACUGAGGACAACAAGCCAAUCUUUAGAUGUUCGAUGGUCGUAUAUUUUACCGGGACACGUUCGGUUCGUUUGUAUUUCUCGCGACAUAUUGUAAAUAGGAUAUAUUUACACUUCGUAGUACGUGCGAAAUUUAUUUUAGAGAUUUAUUAUUUAUUGCAGCAACGCUUGUGUUUACGCGGAGUGCUAUAUAUUUAUCAGCCAAUAUUAAUGUACCACUAUUAUGUAUAUUAUCGAUCGAGUAAGCCGACACUCCUCAAACUGCAUCAAAUUAAUUAACAAGAUGUACAUCGACAAUUUCAGAUUAUCAAAAGCAGUGAAAUUACGAAGAACUAUGCGGCACAGCGGAUAAUCUUUCAACAGAGCUUUAUAAUGAGAUCAAUUUUAUAUUGCGAUACAAGUUUUCUACAAAUUUUCUACACUUUUCACUUAACGUGAUGCAAGACAAUUAGCGUUAACUUUAGAAAAUCUCACAUCGAAUUUUAUGUUUUCAUAAAAGAAACGUUUAAUUUAUCAUAUUAUUUCUUUCUCGUAUUCUUAUGUAUGUAUCAAAUGAUAACAAUGUAAAUGAAUUUAAAUGUUUCAUUUACCUUAUCGAGUCUUUUGUAUUUUAACCGAGAUAUUAUAUAUCUCAUAUUAUAAUGCGAUAUAUUCAUGAUAUAUAUCUUUUGAUAUUAACUGAAAGUAUAUUUCACGGUUUUUUAAUUAAUUUUUACUAAUUCCUCGUAACAACAUAUGUGUUUCAUCGUAACUGAAUCACAGACAUUAAAUAUAAAAGUUUUAUAAAGCGGUAUGUGAUAAAACAGAAAAACGUAUUUCGACAAAAAUCUAGAAAACAAAUACCAGAUUUUUAUUACAUAAAAUUUAAUACAAAGAGAGAAAUAAUGUAAAGAAUUAAAAUAAUAAGCAUUACUUUAAAGUAUGAUAACAACGUAUAAGAGAACAAAUAUGCACGCCUAAUAUAUAAUUAAUGAGUAGGUAACAUACGAACGUAAAUAAGUUAUUAACAAAUUCGAUUUUUAGUACAAAUACAUUAGUUUCAUUCACUACAAGUUAUUAUUUAACAAGAAAAUGCAUGAAAAUAAAUUUGAAAAUAGAAAGUCGCUGUUCGCAAAAAUAAUAAUGAUAGAUAUGAUGGAAUAUUAAAAAACAUGUCCUCGAAAGAGUAGGAUGCUUUAUUAAAAUCGGAAGUAAACUAUGUGUUUUCUUGUAAAUAUGGCGUAUUUACAACGAACUGUCUCAUAUGAUUUUCUAACAAGCUCAACACCAUACAUGCUUACAAAUAUAUUUAAUAAUGCGGUUUGUAAUCAUUUUUUAAAUGAUAUUCGUUCCAGGAUAAACGAAACGUCUUCGAAAAAAAGAUUAUUAAAUAUCGUUGUAAUUUUCGAACAAUGUAGAUAUACGCUGUAUAUAGUAGAUCCUUUUUUUUAUAUAUUGUUAUAUAUUUAAAGACAACACCAUGUACAUAAAGGCGCUAUUUUAAUAAUGCAGUCAUCAUAUUACACAAUUCACAAAAAUUUCUCAUCUCCAUCUAUAACAAGUUCUGUGUAACGAUGUAAUCUUCCACGUAAAUUUUUUAAGCUCGAUAUCGUCAUCUCGACAAAAAUGAAAACUCAUAAUUUUAUUAGAAUUAUAUAUAUAUACUCCUUUGUAUUUUUGUGAGAUCCGAAAAUUUUAUACAAUAAAAAGCAUUUUCA
rnacentral:misc_RNA from 1 species